AAAAUUUUAACAAAGGAAUAUAUAGGAAAAAAUUUUAUGUUCAAGAACAGCUAAGCCAAUGUUAUUGAUAUGAAAAUGUCUCCAGGUAGUUAUUCAAGCCCCCUUCUCCUCUUCCUAAAUGUUAUACUUUUCAGUACUGGACUAAUUUGUCAUUUACUAUCCAAUAUGCUUAGGUGAGCAUAUUGCCCAUUGGCCACUAGUUUAUUUUAGAAAUCUUCUCACUUGGUAUGAAGUGCAAGUGAUCCCCGUUUGGUGUCUGUUAAUUUUUAUCUUUUUAAGAGGAAUACUUUUAAGGCUGAACAGGAUCCUGAAGUGAGGAGGACUCCCUCUUUCAUUGAACUGCAUACAGCAGCAGAAAGCAGGAUUUCAGUUCCCCUUUGAUUCAGAAGAGGAACAACAAUGGAGGACCAAGGUCAUCAAUAUAAGUCUGUGUUUUGCAGCAGAAGAAAGUUAAGACUGACCAGGAAUUUUAAUUGAGGAAGAGUCCCUUUCCCAUUCCGCUGCAGCCAUGAAGAGAAUUUUAAUACUAAGAAUCAGACUUUACUUCUUUUUUACCUAUGGAACUUCAUCAUGACCCACUUUAACAGGCAGGAGUCUUACAAAUAUUUUUUAUUUAAUUAUUUCUGACAUAUCUUUGUCCUCCCUACUCUAAAGUAACUAUGCUUUCCUCUCCUUGCCCCAAUAUUCCACCUUAUUCCUAGCUAUCAUAACCUUAUUGUCUUUAUUUGCUUUUUGAUUUUCAAGCUAAUAAUGUUGUAAUGAUUAUGUUCAUUUGAAUUUCUGUGAUUAUUACAUUGCUUUGUAUUAUUGCUUAUCUUCUCUCCAUCAAGUAUUUCCAAGGAAUUUGACAAGGGAAGAGGACCAGUGCUGAUCGACCAAGUGAAGAAAAAGAAGAGUCUAUUGCCAAGCUUUGUACAGCAGCCAAUAUCUGAUUAAGGAGUGGAAGAUGAGACUGAUCUCAAUCAGUUAACAAGAAUGUGGAAAGUAAGGACUUACUACUGUCUAACCUAAACAUUGAUGGUUAGUCAGAUCAGAUGCAUGUAAAGCUCUAGACCUUGCAUUAUGUGAAUUAGAGGAGAUUUUGACUCUCUCAUUGCUUGGAUUCUUAGUGUCUUUUUGUUAAUAGGCAGACGGUUAUGCUGGCAUUGAUCCUGUUUCCAAAGCAGAUCAACAUGAUUCCUCAAGACUCCAAAGAGAUCAACUAUGGGACCUGAAAAUAAAGGCAGACUGCCAUCAAUUUCAUGUUUCUUUGAUAGCAGACAAAUAUGCUUCAACAAUAGUGCAGAGAGUAAUUUAAGGUUUGGACUGCAAGUGAUGGACACACUAAAUAACUCAACUCAAAGAAUUCAAUGGAUAGUGCUGAGUACAUUAUUAUAUAUCUACAAAGUGAUGGGCACACUAAAUAGCUUAACUGACAGAAUUCAAUGGACCGUGCUGAGAACAUUGUUAUAUAUCUACAAAGUGAUGGACACACUAAAUAGCUUAACUGACAGAAUUCAAUGGACCGUGCUGAGUACAUUGUUAUCUACAAAGUGAUGGACACACUAAAUAGCUUAAUUCACAGAAUCCAGUGGACAGAGUUGAGUAUGUACUAAUAUCUACAAAGUGAAGGACACAGUAAACAGCUUAAUUCUCAGGAUUCAGUGUACCAUGCUGAGUACAUAACUCAUUAAGGAUAACUCAUAUGACAUCCACAGCAGAUCACUCAAAGUUAUGUUACUACAUUAUUGUACAACUUUUCAUAUACUACGUUAUUUUUUCUGAAUGUUUUUUUUUGUAUCUGUAUAUCAUAUUUUUUAAUUUAAAAAAGUUAAAGAUUGGAUUUUUAAGCAAAAAUAUCAAGAGAGGUAUUAAUCAGUGCUUGUCUGAACAUCUAAGCUUAAGAGAAAGGGAGGUAAUUUUUUUUAUUGUGAAUCCUUGUCCAGAGCAUAUGCUUUCUCCCCUUGGUCCAAUGUGGCUAAUACUUCUCUCACAGAGUGCCACUGGUCAAUGGAUGUGUAAUGACCUUGAACAAAGUUUCUAGGCCAAGAGUCAAGGUUAAAACCCCUUUCAGCUACUUUAUAUUU